rnacentral:rRNA from 1 species
UACGUAGGGCGCAAGCGUUGUCCGGAAUUAUUGGGCGUAAAGAGCUCGUAGGCGGCUUGUCACGUCGGGUGUGAAAGCCUGGGGCUUAACCCCGGGUCUGCAUUCGAUACGGGCUAGCUAGAGUGUGGUAGGGGAGAUCGGAAUUCCUGGUGUAGCGGUGAAAUGCGCAGAUAUCAGGAGGAACACCGGUGGCGAAGGCGGAUCUCUGGGCCAUUACUGACGCUGAGGAGCGAAAGCGUGGGGAGCGAACAGG